GCUAACCCUAACCCUAACGGAGAACGUGGCUGGCUGCAUUGGUUGGAUUAGGGUUAGGGUUAGGGUUAGGGUUAGGCUAACCCUAACCCUAACGGAGAAUAUGGCCGGCUGCAUUGGCUGGACUUCCUGGUAUGACCUUAGUAGGAGAAAAAAUAAUAAUAAAACAAUAGAAAAAGGAUUGUCAGUGGAAUGGACCGAUUCACAAGGGAAUGCUCAUUUGUAAAAGGUGGAGACGCAAACAGCAGCUCUGUUCAUCUGCAGGUGUAAGACGUAUGAAAUACCCUCAUGGUAGGCAUUUCCGUCAGCAGAAUAGUAAUAUAUAUACAGAAUUCAACAGUAACUAGAUCUCUCCUUUUUUCCUUUCUGUAAAGAAACGGUGUCCUCGUUCCAGGACAAACAUGCAUGAGUUUUUUUACCCGUGAAAGUUUUGGCCCAGAGGAGUUUUCUUCUUAACAUGUUUGGAGGGAGGGAGAGGAUUUUUGAAUAAGUGAUGAAUGUCAAGGUGGAGUAUUCCAGGAAUAAAAAGGAAAGGUCAAACUAAGUUUCUCGCUUCACUGGUGCUCCAGCGAAUGAAUGGCCAAUAAUAUACGACCUAUCUUAUCCUUGAGAAAAGCUUGACUAAAAAUAAAAAUUCCCUCUAAAAAUGUAUUCAGUUUAACAUUCACUUGAAAAUGUGCACUAAAUCUACCUCAUAAACUCAUCAAAUAUAUUGAGGACAGUUUUCUUUGGACCAAUGGUUUCCUUUUUUUGUUGAAAAUAUCAAACUGUGAAGUUAUUGAAAAGCUGGUUGCAUCGUUUUGUAUCAGAAAGAUUGUGAGUAAACAAAAGACAGUAGAAAAAGCCUUUCUGGUAAACUAAAAACGAAAUGCUAAAUACUUAAGGUGGUAAGAAAAAAUCCUUCAGUUUUCACAUGGGGAUAAAGUUGAAGGUUUAAAGGAUUAAAGUGGAACAUUGCUUUUGGAUAUACAACGUCCCUGAAUAUAGAACAAAGCUUAAAUGGU
ensembl:lncRNA